AUUGAACGCUGGCGGCAUGCUUUACACAUGCAAGUCGAACGGCAGCACGAAAGAGCUUGCUCUUUUGGUGGCGAGUGGCGAACGGGUGAGUAAUGCAUCGGAACGUACCGAGUAAUGGGGGAUAACUGUCCGAAAGGAUAGCUAAUACCGCAUACGCUUUGAGAAGGAAAGUGGGGGCUCUUCGGACCUCACGUUAUUCGAGCGGCCGAUGUCUGAUUAGCUAGUUGGUGGGGUAAAGGCCUACCAAGGCGACGAUCAGUGGCGGGUCUGAGAGGAUGAUCCGCCACACUGGGACUGAGACACGGCCCAGACUCCUACGGGAGGCAGCAGUGGGGAAUUUUGGACAAUGGGCGCAAGCCUGAUCCAGCCAUGCCGCGUGUCUGAAGAAGGCCUUCGGGUUGUAAAGGACUUUUGUUAGGGAAGAAAAGGAUAGUGUUAAUACCAUUAUCUGCUGACGGUACCUAAAGAAUAAGCACCGGCUAACUACGUG
rnacentral:rRNA from 1 species